rnacentral:rRNA from 1 species
GCACAAGCAGCGGAGCAUGUGGUUUAAUUCGAAGCAACGCGAAGAACCUUACCAGAUCUUGACAUCCAAUUGACCAUCUUUUAAUCGAGAUUUUGCCUUUCGGGUACAAUUGAGACAGGUGGUGCAUGGUUGUCGUCAGCUCGUGUCGUGAGAUGUUGGGUUAAGUCCCGCAACGAGCGCAACCCUUGUGUUUAGUUGCAAACAGGUCAAGCUGUGCACUCUAGACAGACUGCCGUGGACAACACGGAGGAAGGUGGGGAUGACGUCAAAUCAUCAUGCCCCUUAUGAUCUGGGCUACACACGUGCUACAAUGGCCGGUACAACGGGCAGCGAAGCCGCGAGGCAAAGCGAAUCGCAAAAAGCCGGUCUCAGUACGGAUUGGAGUCUGAAACCCGACUCCAUGAAGUUGGAAUCGCUAGUAAUCGCGCAUCAGCAUGGCGCGGUGAAUACGUUCCCGGGCCUU